rnacentral:rRNA from 1 species
CCUACGGGAGGCUGCAGUGAGGAAUAUUGGUCAAUGGGCGGGAGCCUGAACCAGCCAAGCCGCGUGAGGGAAGAAGGUACAGCGUAUCGUAAACCUCUUUUGUCAGGGAACAAAGGCGGGGACUAGUCCCCGGAUGAGGGUACCUGAAGAAAAAGCAUCGGCUAAAUCCGGGCCAGCAGCCGCGGUAAUACGGAGGUUGCGAGCGUUAUCCGGAUUUAUUGGGUUUAAGGGGUGCGCAGGCGGCCUGUUAAGUCUGCGGUAAAAGCCCGGGGCUAAACUCCGGCGAGCCGUUGAAACUGGCGGGCUGGAGUUGGAGAGAAGUAGGCGGAAUGCGCGGUGUAGCGGUGAAAUGCUUAGAGAUCGCGCAGAACCCCGAUUGCGAAGGCAGCGUACCGGAUCAAAACUGACGCUGAGGCACGAAAGCGUGGGUAUCGAACAGGAUUAGAUACCCCUGUAGUC